AGUGAACGCUGGCGGCGUGCCUAAUACAUGCAAGUCGAGCGAACAGAUGAGAAGCUUGCUUCUCUGAUGUUAGCGGCGGACGGGUGAGUAACACGUGGGUAACCUACCUAUAAGACUGGGAUAACUCCGGGAAACCGGGGCUAAUACCGGAUAAUAUUUUGAACCGCAUGGUUCAAUAGUGAAAGACGGUUUCGGCCGUCACUUAUAGAUGGACUCGCGCCGUAUUAGCUAGUUGGUAAGGUAACGGCUUACCAAGGCGACGAUACGUAGCCGACCUGAGAGGGUGAUCGGCCACACUGGAACUGAGACACGGUCCAGACUCCUACGGGAGGCAGCAGUAGGGAAUCUUCCGCAAUGGGCGAAAGCCUGACGGAGCAACGCCGCGUGAGUGAUGAAGGUCUUCGGAUCGUAAAACUCUGUUGUUAGGGAAGAACAAAUUUGUUAGUAACUGAACAAGUCUUGACGGUACCUAACCAGAAAGCCACGGCUAACUACGUGCCAGCCGCCGCCGUAA
rnacentral:rRNA from 1 species